UACGAAGGGGGCUAGCGUUGUUCGGAAUUACUGGGCGGUAAAGCGCACGUAGGCGGAUAUUUUAAGUCAGGGGUGAAAUCCCAGAGCUCAACUCUGGAACUGCCUUUGAUACUGGGUAUCUUGAGUAUGGAAGAGGUAAGUGGAAUUCCGAGUGUAGAGGUGAAAUUCGUAAGAUAUUCGGAGGAACACCAGUGGCGAAGGCGGCUUACUGGUCCAUUACUGAC
rnacentral:rRNA from 1 species